rnacentral:rRNA from 1 species
UGCAUGUACCUUAUGAAUAAGCAUCGGCUAACUCCGUGCCAGCAGCCGCGGUAAUACGGAGGAUGCGAGCGUUAUCCGGAUUUAUUGGGUUUAAAGGGAGCGUAGGCGGGAGAUUAAGUCAGCUGUGAAAGUUCGGGGCUCAACCUUGGAAUUGCAGUUGAAACUGGUUUUCUUGAGUGCGGCAGAGGCAGGCGGAAUUCGUGGUGUAGCGGUGAAAUGCUUAGAUAUCACGAAGAACCCCGAUUGCGAAGGCAGCUUGCUGGAGCGUAACUGACGCUGAUGCUCGAAAGUGUGGGUAUCAAACAGGAUUAGAUACCCUGGUAGUCCACACGGUAAACGAUGGAUACUCGCUGUUGGCGAUAUACGGUCAGCGGCCAAGCGAAAGCAUUAAGUAUCCCACCUGGGGAGUACGCCGGCAACGGUGAAACUCAAAGGAAUUGACGGGGGCCCGCACAAGCGGAGGAACAUGUGGUUUAAUUCGAUGAUACGCGAGGAACCUUACCCGGGCUUAAAUUAUGCAUGAAUGAUCUGGAGACAGGUCAGCCGCAAGGCAUGUAUGAAGGUGCUGCAUGGUUGUCGUCAGCUCGUGCCGUGAGGUGUCGGCUUAAGUGCCAUAACGAGCGCAACCCUUUCUGCCAGUUACUAACAGG